UUAGGCAUGCAAGUCGAACGCGAAGGGGAGCAAUCCCCGAGUAGAGUGGCGAACGGGUGAGUAACGCGUGAAGAACCUGCCUUCGACAGGGGGAUAACACUCCCAACGGGGUGCUAAUACCGCAUGAGACCACGGGGUCGCAUGGCCCUGAGGUCAAAGGUGGCCUCUAUUUAUAAGCUACCGGUUGAAGAUGGCUUCGCGUCCCAUUAGCUAGUUGGCGGUGUAACGGACCACCAAGGCGACGAUGGGUAGCUGGUCUGAGAGGAUGGUCAGCCACACUGGGACUGAGAUACGGCCCAGACUCCUACGGGAGGCAGCAGUCGAGAGGCUUCGGCAAUGGGGGAAACCCUGACCGAGCGACGCCGCGUGAGGGAUGAAGGCCCUUGGGUUGUAAACCUCUUUUGUUGGGGAAGAAAUGCGAUCAGGUGAACAAUCUGGUCGUUUGACGGUACCCGACGAAUAAGCUCCGGCUAACUCCGUGCCAGCAGCCGCGGUAACACGGGGGGAGCAAGCGUUGUUCGGAAUCACUGGGCGUAAAGGGCGUGUAGGCGGUCUGGUAAGUGAGAUGUGAAAUGCUCCGGCUCACCCGGGGACCUGCAUCUCAAACUGCCGGACUAGAGUAUGGGAGAGGAUGAGGGAAUUCCUGGUGUAGCGGUGAAAUGCGUAGAUAUCAGGAGGAACACCGGUGGCGAAAGCGCUCAUCUGGCCCAAUACUGACGCUGAGGCGCGAAAGCUAGGGGAGCAAACGGGAUUAGAUACCCCGGUAGUCCUAGCCGUAAACGGUGAUCACUAGGUGUUGGAGGCAUCGACCCCUCCAGUGCCGCAGCUAACGCAUUAAGUGAUCCGCCUGGGGAGUACGGCCCGCAAGGUGAAACUCAAAG
rnacentral:rRNA from 1 species